CAAUCGUAUUGUUAUUUCAUGUCUAGUUAAUUUUUCUUCUUCUAUUACUCCCAAAUAAGAAUAUAAGGCAAUAGAAUUUACUGCUAACUAAAAUCUGGAAUAAACUUGUGAUAUACUAAAGAAAAAAUUCAAUCUGAAUUUUAUAAGUAAAAUAUUCAGUAAAAAAUUCAAAAUAAUUAAAUUAUUUUUAAAAAAUAAUUUGUUUUAUAAAAAAAAUAUAUUUUAUAAUAAUUUUCUCGUAUAUUUUAUAAAAAUUAUAGAAAUAAACAAAAUUAUAAUAAUUUGAAACAUGGCUUUGCUAAAAAUAUAUCAUGUAUCCAAUUGUAUGGAAUUAAUGCUUUUAUCAACAAAAAAAUGUUGCAUGUGUGUGAAUAUCUGAUCGCCAUUUGAGAAGAAUUUGAGAAAUAUUUAAGUUCUUUAUGGAUUGAUUCCAACGAGGAUGCCAAAAACUAUAAAAUUUCGAGUUUAUGUUCAUUUGAUGUCUUAAAUGUUAAAUUAAUGAUAAAUUAUUUUCAAAAGAAAUAAUAUGAUCCCUUUUUGAAAAAUUAAUAAAAAAGUAUCGAGCAUUGGAAAAUAUGAAUAAAAAUGGAAUUCAAAAACAUAUGUAAUGUAUACACAUAAUCGAAUGGUGCGCCUUGUGGUCGGUUGAAAAAGUUAUACCAUCAAAGAAGGAAAAACGGGAGAGCACGUAAAAUCUAAGCAUGUGGAAAAUAAGAAAAUAAAAAACACUAGAAAAAAGUUAAGUAAAAAUGAUCAAUGAUUAAAAUUGUUGUGGUUUUAUAAAAAAAUGUAAAAAAAAGAAGAUAAAUUAGAAAAAAGAAAAAAAUUAUGAUGUAAAUACAAUUAUAGAAAAAAAUUGGAGAAUUAGAGGUUAAAUUAGAAAAGAAAAGAGAUAAGAAUCAGUAUUUAAAAAGAUAAAAAAAGAAAUAAGAAAAAUAAAAACAGAAAUAUAGAAAUAUUAAAAAAGAAGAUUGAAAAGAUGGAGAAGAUCAAAAAAUAAUAGAUUAAAAAUAUAAAAUUAGGAAACGAAAAAAAGGAGAUAGAAGAAAAUAAGAAAAAAUAAGAUUAAUAAUUCUGGAUAAUAAAAAUCUGGAACUGAAAAAUAUAAGAGAAAAUAUAAAAGAAUAUAUAUGAGUAUUAAUGAGAAUAAAAGAAAUAGUAGAUAGAAUUCUAUAGGUGAGAGAAAAAAAUAAAAUAAAUCUAAGAAUCAAUCGUAUAAAAAAUUAGAGAAAAAAGAAAAAAGGAAAUUAUAAAUUUUUAUAUUUAAUUUUUAUCUUAAUUUAAUAUUGAAAUCACAAUCAUCAAUAAGAUGUUUCAAAAGAUAUUAUGCUGUUAUCCUUAAGCUGCUGCAGGCAAUACCAACAGUUCUAGAAACGAUGGUAAUGCGACUAUUUGCACCAACUUUAGCGAAACAAUGAAGACAAAUAGUAUCAGAGAUCUUUGGAAUGAACACAAUGAUGGUAAUAAAGGAAAAAAAUCUGGC